AUAAUGGGUCAGCGACUUAUAUUCUGUAGCAAGGUUAACCGAAUAGGGGAGCCGAAGGGAAACCGAGUCUUAACUGGGCGUUAAGUUGCAGGGUAUAGACCCGAAACCCGGUGAUCUAGCCAUGGGCAGGUUGAAGGUUGGGUAACACUAACUGGAGGACCGAACCGACUAAUGUUGAAAAAUUAGCGGAUGACUUGUGGCUGGGGGUGAAAGGCCAAUCAAACCGGGAGAUAGCUGGUUCUCCCCGAAAGCUAUUUAGGUAGCGCCUCGUGAAUUCAUCUCCGGGGGUAGAGCACUGUUUCGGCAAGGGGGUCAUCCCGACUUACCAACCCGAUGCAAACUGCGAAUACCGGAGAAUGUUAUCACGGGAGACACACGGCGGGUGCUAACGUCCGUCGUGAAGAGGGAAACAACCCAGACCGCCAGCUAAGGUCCCAAAGUCAUGGUUAAGUGGGAAACGAUGUGGGAAGGCCCAGACAGCCAGGAUGUUGGCUUAGAAGCAGCCAUCAUUUAAAGAAAGCGUAAUAGCUCACUGGUCGAGUCGGCCUGCGCGGAAGAUGUAACGGGGCUAAACCAUGCACCGAAGCUGCGGCAGCGACGCUGAUGCGUUGUUGGGUAGGGGAGCGUUCUGUAAGCCUGCGAAGGUGUGCUGUGAGGCAUGCUGGAGGUAUCAGAAGUGCGAAUGCUGACAUAAGUAACGAUAAAGCGGGUGAAAAGCCCGCUCGCCGGAAGACCAAGGGUUCCUGUCCAACGUUAAUCGGGGCAGGGUGAGUCGACCCCUAAGGCGAGGCCGAAAGGCGUAGUCGAUGGGAAACAGGUUAAUAUUCCUGUACUUGGUGUUACUGCGAAGGGGGGACGGAGAAGGCUAUGUUGGCCGGGCGACGGUUGUCCCGGUUUAAGCGUGUAGGCUGGUUUUCCAGGCAAAUCCGGAAAAUCAAGGCUGAGGCGUGAUGACGAGGCACUACGGUGCUGAAGCAACAAAUGCCCUGCUUCCAGGAAAAGCCUCUAAGCAUCAGGUAACAUCAAAUCGUACCCCAAACCGACACAGGUGGUCAGGUAGAGAAUACCAAGGCGCUUGAGAGAACUCGGGUGAAGGAACUAGGCAAAAUGGUGCCGUAACUUCGGGAGAAGGCACGCUGAUAUGUAGGUGAAGUCCCUCGCGGAUGGAGCUGAAAUCAGUCGAAGAUACCAGCUGGCUGCAACUGUUUAUUAAAAACACAGCACUGUGCAAACACGAAAGUGGACGUAUACGGUGUGACGC
rnacentral:rRNA from 1 species